rnacentral:rRNA from 1 species
AUUGAACGCUGGCGGUAUGCCUUACACAUGCAAGUCGAACGGUAGAGGGGCAACCCUUGAGAGUGGCGAACGGGUGAGGAAUACAUCGGAACGUGCCCAGUCGUGGGGGAUAACGUAGCGAAGCCUACGCUAAUACCGCAUACGACCUGGGGUGAAAGCGGGGGAUCGCAAGACCUCGCGCGAUUGGAGCGGCCGAUGGCAGAUUGGGUAGUUGGUGGGGUAAAGGCCUACCAAGCCUGAGAUCUGUAGCUGGUCUGAGAGGACGACCAGCCACACUGGGACGGAGACCCGGCCCAGACUCCGACGGGAGGCAGCAGGGGGGAAUUUUGGACAAUGGGCGAAAGCCUGAUCCAGCCAUACCGCGUGCGGGAAGGAGGCCUUCGGGUUGUAGACCGCUUGUGUCAGGGAAGAAAUCAUCUGGGUUAAUACCUCGGGAGGAUGACGGUACCUAAAGAAUAAGCACCGGCUAACUACGUGCCAGCAGCGGCAGUAA